UGGGGAAUUUUGGACAAUGGACGCAAGACUGAACCAGCCAUGCCGCGUGGAGGAUGAAGGCCCUCUGGGUUGUAAACUUCUUUUAUUUGGGACGAAACACUCUUUAUCUAGAGAGCUUGACGGUACCAGAUGAAUAAGCACCGGCUAACUCCGUGCCAGCAGCCGCGGUAAUACGGAGGGUGCAAGCGUUAUCCGGAUUCACUGGGUUUAAAGGGUGCGUAGGCGGAUUUGUAAGUCCGUGGUGAAAUCUCUAAGCUUAACUUGGAAAUUGCCGUGGAUACUAUAAGUCUUGAAUAUUGUGGAGGUUAGCGGAAUAUGUCAUGUAGCGGUGAUAUGCAUAGAUAUGACAUAGAACACCAAUUGCGAAGGCAGCUGGCUACGUUUGAUUUGACACUGAGGCACGAAAGCAUGGUGAGCAAACA
rnacentral:rRNA from 1 species